CUGAUGAAGACUGGCACCUGCUUGAAGUUGCAGCUGGCAACUUCAAAAUUUUCUGAGAAGAAAGUGUGGCUAUGCCGUCUGGAAGAUCUCCCAUCUGGUGCUCUGCAGCUUUCAGCUGGCUCUGAGGGCCAUAUCCUGCUCCAGUUGUAUCUGUGCAAGCCCUUCCUUUUGGAGCUGUGUGGCUGUUCUGACAGCUUUUGCUGCCACCUUGGGUCAGGGGCUCCUGGGAGCUUUUGCUGUUCGUAGAGUCCCAGAGAGCUGGUGCCAUGCAGGGAGAGCAAACUGAAGGGUCAAGGGGAUGUCAGGGUCACCUGGAAUGAUCUCAGCUUUUCCAUAUAAGCAGUAAAGAGCUGCUCUUUCCAGUGUCAGACUUGCUUUCUGGUCCAACAGCGUCUCUUACCGGAGGAGGAUGCUUCCUAGUCUCCAGUAAUACAAAGCAGUUUCCGGUUUGAGGGAGAAGAUGGGAACUGGCAGGAAGAUGAAUUGAUGUUGCUCAUGCCAGCUGUUGGAAAGACGCUGCAGCAUCCUGACCAGGACCGAUUGCUGGGACAAUGACAAAGAAAUGAGGUUACCGUGAAACUGAGAGAACACUGAGCUGCAUUUUGCAACAGACCCCUUGGUAUGGCAGUGCUGAAUAUUGGCUAAUACUUCAGACAAGUUAAAUGAAGCCAGGAGAAAACAAGCAUCCUUCCUCCCCAGAAGGAGGUGUCGGAAUGUGAUCACUGCGGAAGUCACUGUCACAUCAAGGAGGAAGUGCCCUGCCUGAAAAUCACAAGCUCCUACAGUAGGUGACGGCUGAACUGAUUCAGAAGGAAUAGUGUGCAGAAGAGCUGCUGAAGAAGAGAGGCGCUGGAUGCAGCUGCUGGCACAAUGGCAGGCAAUGUGGUCCACUCUCUCGGCAGUUACCCUGCUUAUAAACUCCCUUUACCCAAAUCUAUAAGCACCACUGUCUGAAUGCCUUCAGCUUCUUUUUGGGCUCAAGCUCUAACAGCGGCACCAAACCUCACCCUUGCUGACCAUGGACCUCG